rnacentral:rRNA from 1 species
UACGUAGGGUGCAAGCGUUGUCCGGAAUUAUUGGGCGUAAAGAGCUUGUAGGCGGUUUGUCGCGUCUGCUGUGAAAUUUCGGGGCUCAACCCCGAACUUGCAGUGGGUACGGGCAGACUAGAGUGCGGUAGGGGUGACUGGAAUUCCUGGUGUAGCGGUGGAAUGCGCAGAUAUCAGGAGGAACACCGGUGGCGAAGGCGGCAUCCUGGACCAACACUGACGCUGAGGAGCGAAAGCCAGGGGAGCAAACGGG